AUUGAACGCUGGCGGCAUGCCUUACACAUGCAAGUCGAACGGCAGCGGACCUUCGGGUGCCGGCGAGUGGCGAACGGGUGAGUAAUAUAUCGGAACGUACCUUUCAGUGGGGGAUAACGUAGCGAAAGUUACGCUAAUACCGCAUAUUCUGUGAGCAGGAAAGCAGGGGAUCGCAAGACCUUGCGCUGAUUGAGCGGCCGAUAUCAGAUUAGCUAGUUGGUGAGGUAAAGGCUCACCAAGGCGACGAUCUGUAGCGGGUCUGAGAGGAUGAUCCGCCACACUGGAACUGAGACACGGUCCAGACUCCUACGGAGGCAGCAGUGGGGAAUUUUGGACAAUGGGCGCAAGCCUGAUCCAGCCAUGCCGCGUGAGUGAAGAAGGCCUCGG
rnacentral:rRNA from 1 species